rnacentral:rRNA from 1 species
GUUAUAGGAUCAAGCGACUAAGUGCAUGUGGUGGAUGCCUUGGCGAUUACAGGCGAUGAAGGACGUAGUAGCCUGCGAUAAGCUACGGGGAGCUGGCAAACAAGCUUUGAUCCGUAGAUUUCCGAAUGGGGAAACCCACAGCUUCGGCUGUAUCGCAUACUGAAUACAUAGGUAUGCGAGGCGAACCGGGUGAACUGAAACAUCUCAGUAGCUCGAGGAAAAGAAAUCAACCGAGAUUCCGAUAGUAGCGGCGAGCGAAAUCGGAUCAGCCUUUGCGAUUUAGCUUCAUUGAUAGGGGAACAGUCUGGAAAGUCUGGCCAUAGCAGGUGAUAGUCCUGUACCCGAAAUCUUUGAUGUGGAACUAGGCGCAAGACAAGUAGGGCGGGACACGUGUAAUCCUGUCUGAACAUGGGGGGACCAUCCUCCAAGGCUAAAUACUCGUAAUCGACCGAUAGUGAACCAGUACCGUGAGG